rnacentral:rRNA from 1 species
UCUGGUACCUUCGGUGCCCGAGUUGUAAUUUGGAGAGGGCAACUUUGGGGCCGUUCCUUGUCUAUGUUCCUUGGAACAGGACGUCAUAGAGGGUGAGAAUCCCGUGUGGCGAGGAGUGCGGUUCUUUGUAAAGUGCCUUCGAAGAGUCGAGUUGUUUGGGAAUGCAGCUCUAAGUGGGUGGUAAAUUCCAUCUAAAGCUAAAUAUUGGCGAGAGACCGAUAGCGAACAAGUACAGUGAUGGAAAGAUGAAAAGAACUUUGAAAAGAGAGUGAAAAAGUACGUGAAAUUGUUGAAAGGGAAGGGCAUUUGAUCAGACAUGGUGUUUUGUGCCCUCUGCUCCUUGUGGGUAGGGGAAUCUCGCAUUUCACUGGGCCAGCAUCAGUUUUGGUGGCAGGAUAAAUCCAUAGGAAUGUAGCUUGCCUCGGUAAGUAUUAUAGCCUGUGGGAAUACUGCCAGCUGGGACUGAGGACUGCGACGUAAGUCAAGGAUGCUGGCAUAAUGGUUAUAUGCCGCCCGUCUG